GCCUGGUGGUUCCUGGAGACAGCUGUACUGUGCUGGUCUGUGGGUUUUGUUAAACAGGCAAACAUAAACUCUGUGAUUUUUUGCAUGGGGACUGUGUUUAUCAGCAGGCCUCAUAGCCCGGUUGCAGAGACAACA